rnacentral:rRNA from 1 species
UACAGAGGGGGCAAGCGUUGUUCGGAAUUACUGGGCGUAAAGGGCGCGUAGGCGGCCUUCUAAGUCGAACGUGAAAUCCCCGGGCUCAACCCGGGAACUGCGUCCGAUACUGGAAGGCUUGAAUCCGGGAGAGGGAUGUGGAAUUCCAGGUGUAGCGGUGAAAUGCGUAGAUAUCUGGAGGAACACCGGUGGCGAAGGCGGGUCUCUGGGCAGUAACUGACGCUGAGGAGCGAAAGCAUGGGGAGCGAACAGG